CCUUUCUAAGGAUGAUCAAGAAUUGGGAUACUUCCCUUUUUGAUCUCACUAGACAAUAAAGGUUUUAAGCAAAAUUGUUUAAACCUUGUGCAUAUGACGCUAACUCUCCAUGAAAUCUCCCCUCUUAUUGAAGAGAAGCUCUUUGUAACAAAAGAGCCCCCAUCUCUCGAGGUCCCCUACCUCCCUAUAAGAGAAGUUUCAUGAGUGUUUAGUGCCAUGUGUGAACAAUUAAAUGCGGACUAGCCGUCUUCGUUUCUCUUUCUUCAGAUGAUGAUCCCAAGCCUUCUGGCGCUCUUGUAAGAGAAAGCUGCUUUUAAAAAGCUUUCAGGAAGAAGAGUUUUUAAAAAGCUUUUCCAUAAGAUAAUGCCGGGGAAGGUUUUCCGGUUUAUCCCGGAGGGCUUGUAGCUCAGUUGGUUAGAGCGCGCGCUUGAUAAGCGUGAGGUCGGAGGUUCAAGUCCUCCCAGGCCCACCACUUUAAUCCAUCCCACUUUAUUCAUCCAUUGAAGAAGGCUUCUGAGAAGCCUUUUUAUAAGAAUGUAACGCUUAUCUUUUUUCCUUAAAGCUUAAAGCAAUUCAAAAGCAAAAAGAUCUCUGUUAAACGGAUUUUAAUUUGAAAAAUUUGGCAUGCGUUAUGUUGUUUAGGGGCCGUAGCUCAGCUGGGAGAGCACCUGCUUUGCAAGCAGGGGGUCGUCGGUUCGAUCCCGUCCGGCUCCACCAUUUAAGUCAUCAUCAUUGUUGUGAGAACAGUGUUUUGUGGAAGGUUUAAGAAAACCUUUCGCUUGUUCUAUUGAAAUUGUGAAGAGAAGAUAUAUUCAGACAUGAUUUUUACGUCUGUCUUUUAAAAGAUAAAAUUAUGAAAUUUAAAAGAUAAAUUUGUAAGAAAUGAUGUGUCGCAAGGGAAUGCUCAAACCCCUUGCUUAUGAUUGGAAGCUUAACCGCGCCACUGAGUAUAUCUCGAGAAGCUGGUCUUUUCUGCUAAUAUUUAUGUUUGUUUUGCGCUUUGUUUUGCACAAGACAUAAGAGAAGCAGGCAAACAAUAAAAGAUUGCACACGUCACACACUCUAAGGCGUAAAUGUUACUUGCUCCUUUCCUGUUCAUUGUUCAUGAAAGAGAGUAAAUAAUUGUUACCAAGAGUAGAUAAUG
rnacentral:tRNA from 1 species